UAGGGAAUCUUCCGCAAUGGACGCAAGUCUGACGGAGCAACGCCGCGUGAGUGAAGAAGGAUUUCGGUUCGUAAAACUCUGUUGUUAGAGAAGAACAGCGCAUAGAGUAACUGUUAUGCGUGUGACGGUAUCUAACCAGAAAGCCACGGCUAACUACGUGCCAGCAGCCGCGGUAAUACGUAGGUGGCAAGCGUUGUCCGGAUUUAUUGGGCGUAAAGCGAGCGCAGGCGGUCAAUUAAGUCUGAUGUGAAAGCCCCCGGCUCAACCGGGGAGGGUCCUUGUAAACUGGUUGACUUGAGUGCAGAAGAGGAGAGUGGAAUUCCAUGUGUAGCGGUGAAAUGCGUAGAUAUAUGGAGGAACGCCAGUGGCUAAGGCGACUCUCUGGUCUGUAACUGACGCUGAGGCUCGAAAGCGUGGGGAGCGAACAGG
rnacentral:rRNA from 1 species